rnacentral:rRNA from 1 species
UUGAACGCUGGCGGCAGGCCUAACACAUGCCAGUCGUGCGGAUGAAGGGAGCUUGCUCCUGGAUUCAGCGGCGGACGGGUGAGUAAUGCCUAGGAAUCUGCCUGGUAGUGGGGGAUAACGUCCGGAAACGGGCGCUAAUACCGCAUACGUCCUGAGGGAGAAAGUGGGGGAUCUUCGGACCUCACGCUAUCAGAUGAGCCUAGGUCGGAUUAGCUAGUUGGUGGGGUAAAGGCCUACCAAGGCGACGAUCCGUAACUGGUCUGAGAGGAUGAUCAGUCACACUGGAACUGAGACGCGGUCCAGACUCCUACGGGAGGCAGCAGUGGGGAAUAUUGGACAAUGGGCGAAAGCCUGAUCCAGCCAUGCCGCGUGUGUGAAGAAGGUCUUCGGAUUGUAAAGCACUUUAAGUUGGGAGGAAGGGCAGUAAGUUAAUACCUUGCUGUUUUGACGUUACCAACAGAAUAAGCACCGGCUAACUUCGUG